GACGAACGCUGGCGGCGUGCUUAACACAUGCAAGUCGAGCGGUAAGGCCCUUUCGGGGGUACACGAGCGGCGAACGGGUGAGUAACACGUGGGUGACCUGCCCUCAGCUCUGGGAUAAGCCUGGGAAACCGGGUCUAAUACUGGAUAUGACUCCAUGACGCAUGUUGUGGGGUGGAAAGCCUUGUGCGGCUGAGGAUGGGCCCGCGGCCUAUCAGCUUGUUGGUGGGGUGAUGGCCUACCAAGGCGACGACGGGUAGCCGGCCUGAGAGGGCGACCGGCCACACUGGGACUGAGACACGGCCCAGACUCCUACGGGAGGCGAGCAGUGGGGAAUCUUGCGCAAUGGGCGAAAGCCUGACGCAGCGACGCCGCGUGAGGGAU
rnacentral:rRNA from 1 species